rnacentral:rRNA from 1 species
GGAAUAUUGCACAAUGGACGCAAGUCUGAUGCAGUAACGCCGCGUGGGGGAAGAAGACCUUCGGGUUGUAAACCUCUUUUUGUAAAGACGAGCGAGGACGGUAUUUAUAGAAUAAGUCUCGGCUAACUACGUGCCAGCAGCCGCGGUAAGACGUAGGAGGCGAGCGUUAUCCGGAUUCACUGGGCGUAAAGCGCAUGUAGGCGGUUCGAUAAGUCCGCGGUUAAAGCCCCUGGCUCAACUGGGGGAGGUCCGUGGAGACUGUGGGACUUGAGGGCAACAGAGGCACGUGGAACUCCCGGUGUAGCGGUGGAAUGCGUAGAGAUCGGGAAGAACACCAGUGGCGAAGGCGACGUGCUGGGUUGCACCUGACGCUGAGAUGCGAAAGUGUGGGGAGCAAA